AGGUGCGAUCAGACCAGCACUAAUGCACCGGAUCCCAUCAGAACUCCGCAGUUAAGAGUGCUUGGACGAGAGUAGUACUAGGAUGGGUGACCUCCUGGGAAGUCCUCGUGUUGCACCCC
rfam:Arabis alpina cultivar Pajares scaff_66603_1_contig_0, whole genome shotgun sequence.